CAGUAGCCACGGUAAUACUAGGGGAGCUAGCGUUGUUCGGAAUUACUGGGCGUAAAGCGCGCGUAGGCGGCUUUUUAAGUCAGAGGUGAAAGCCCGGGGCUCAACCCCGGAAUUGCCUUUGAAACUGGAAAGCUAGAAUCUUGGAGAGGUCAGUGGAAUUCCGAGUGUAGAGGUGAAAUUCGUAGAUAUUCGGAAGAACACCAGUGGCGAAGGCGACUGACUGGACAAGUAUUGACGCUGAGGUGCGAAAGCGUGGGGAGCAAACAGGAUUAGAUACCCCGGUAGUCCCUGUCUCUUAUAA
rnacentral:rRNA from 1 species